rnacentral:lncRNA from 1 species
UAAUUUUUCUUAAUUUUUUUUAUAUGAAUUAGUGAGUGUAUAUAUAUAUAUAUAUAUAUAUAUAUAUAUAUAGAGAGAGAGAGAGAGAGAGAGAGAGAGAGAGGCUACUUUCGAAUCGUCGAUCGGCUCCGUUAAAUUUGAUCUAGAGUAUUUGAAGUAUCUAGAAAAUAAAUUUUAUUAUUUUUCGAUAUCAUUUGCCUAGUUAUCGAAUGGGCUCAAAAUUAACAAAUUUUAAUUGUCGUAGUGAGCCGUUUGCAAAUUUAACGGUGUAGAAACAUCCAAAUCACGUGAAAUUUUGAUAGAAAAUUUUUUAUACUAUAUAAAACAAGAUCAAUAUCUUUGAUUUAAAAUUUUAAUGUCAUAUUAUCACAUUUUGUAAGAUUUUUAUUUUCAGCCGUUGAUUUUAAGCCCCUUCGUUCACUAGGCAAAUGAUAUCGUAAAAUUAUAAAAUUUAUUUUCUAGAUAUUUCAAAUACUCUAGAUCAAGUUUAACGGAGCCGAUCGACAAUUCGAAAGUCGCAACAUGAAAAAUGAGCUGGAAGUACGGAAGGCUCCGUGCUUUCGAUAGCAUAGUAGCCUCACUAUAUAUAUAUAUAUAUAUAUAGAAUUGAGCUAGAAUACUUUUACAAGUAUCACCUCUUUGGUGCUAUUAAGUUUUUAGCCAUUGGAUCUACUCCUUGAUUACUAAUAGUUCUUGGAUCAAACACUAUUCCACCUACCACCACCUACACCAUCAUCCCAACCCUAUAUUUCUCUAUCCAAGGAUUAAAAACUCACAAGCACCAUCCUCUUGAUGCUUUUAAAAGUAUUCUAGCUCAUCUCUCUCUCUCUAUAUAUAUAUAUAUAUAUAUAUGAGGAUAACAUCUAAUAUAAU